rnacentral:rRNA from 1 species
AACUUUCAACAACGGAUCUCUUGGUUCUGGCAUCGAUGAAGAACGCAGCGAAAUGCGAUAAGUAGUGUGAAUUGCAGAAUUCAGUGAAUCAUCGAAUCUUUGAACGCACAUUGCGCCCUGUGGUAUUCCGCAGGGCAUGCCUGUUCGAGCGUCAUU